UACGUAGGGUGCGAGCGUUGCCCGGAUUUAUUGGGCGUAAAGGGCGCGUAGGCGGCUCUGCACGUCCGUUGUGAAAUCGCCCGGCUCAACUGGGCGGGGUCAGCGGAUACGGCGGAGCUUGAGCAAGCUAGGGGGCAAUGGAAUUCCCGGUGUAGUGGUGGAAUGCGUAGAUAUCGGGAGGAACACCUGUGGCGAAAGCGGCUCACUGGACCACAACUGACGCUGAUGCACGAAAGCUAGGGGAGCAAACAGG
rnacentral:rRNA from 1 species